GAUGAACGCUAGCGGCAGGCCUAAUACAUGCAAGUCGAACGGUGUCUUCGGACAUAGUGGCGCACGGGUGCGUAACACGUAUGCAACCUACCUUACAUUGGGGGAUAGCCUUUCGAAAGGGAGAUUAAUACCGCAUAAGACAGUAGCUGGGCAUCCAGCAGCUGUUCAAGAUUUAUCGAUGUAAGCUGGGCAUGCGUCCAAUUAGCUAGUUGGUGAGGUAACGGCUCACCAAGGCAAUGAUUGGUAGGGGAACUGAGAGGUCAAUCCCCCACACUGGCAGUGAGAUACGGGCCAGACUCCUACGGGAGGCAGCAGUAGGGAAUAUUGGGCAAUGGACGCAAGUCUGACCCAGCCAUGCCGCGUGCAGGAUGAAGGCGUUAUGCGUUGUAAACUGCUUUUAUACAGGAAGAAACGACUCUUGCGAGAGGCAUUGACGGUACUGUAUGAAUAAGCACCGGCUAACUCCGUGCCAGCCGCCGCCGUAAAAC
rnacentral:rRNA from 1 species